UGUAACAGACAUUCCGGUGGAAGAACAGACAGAGAGGACAUAAUGCUGCCGGCACACUGACAGACUGAGGCAAUGGUUAACUCAUGUAAACUGUGGGCAAACCUUUCACCUGUUGGCCAAUCAUCUCACUUUAAGUCCUUGGUGCCGGUGUCUUGUGCUUAAUAAAGAGAUGCUUCCCUAGAGGCUGAGAGCUGAAAGAGCCAUGACUGUAAACCACCCUCCCUCGGACUAUAGUGCCCUUCACCUUCCCUCGCAGAGCAAGGCCAAUGUAUGGAGUCAACUGAAAAGAGAGAAAAAGUUUGGAACGCAGAAGAAAAUCAAACAAGAUCAACUUUAAUAUAGAUUGGUGCACCAUGGAAUAGACAGCAGUUGGACUCACAUAGUGUCAUGAAUGACUUGGAUAUUUAUGAGUGAUUAAGAACAGCCACUUGGCGAAAAUGGUCAAACCUCUGAGGAAGGGGCGAGUUGAAAAAAACAGGGUGAGAUUAAGAGGUGUUAGGAAGAGUAAGACAAGCAGAAGAUAAUAGAAUGAAAAGGAAGACAAAGGCAGUAGGAAAUGAAGUCCCAGAUGUAAGUGAGUGACCAGCAUUAACUGAAUUGUUUUUGCAUCUGAUUUGGGUGAAACCCAAGGGCUACUGCCAUGUUCUGGAUGUGCCAUGGAUGGUCUGUGCCCUUUCCCUCUAUUGUACAUGAACCAGCCAAACAAUUGCUUUGACCUGCUCACAAACACUGAAUCAUCAUUACAGCAUUCAGAGGGGCUGAUGUGCUGGUCUGUUUUCUUUCUGACAUAUGCAGCAUCACAUAGAGGCACUAAAUAAAAAGCAUUUUGACUUUGAAUCACGUAUGUAAUAAUUAUCUUCCUCAAAAGAUGGCUGUUAAUGGCUGAUGGGUUUUUUGCAUACAUAUUGCUAUUCCACUCUUCAAUAUUUAUGUAUUACUCAAAUAAUAUUACUUUUGUUUAAAUGUACUCCUAAAAUAAUUAUUUAAUUAUUAGAAGCCCAACAUAGACUCGUUUUUUUCAGUAAUACAAAUUUCAACAUAUGGUAAUGGCAUUGCUUAAUCAUGAUUUCAUGAUAAGAUAUAAUUCUUUAGUGGUGUAAUUUCCAUUUAGUCUCUUAUUCACUUCCUGAUUUCAGAAAAUGCAAAGAGGGGCUGAGUCAGAAGAAUAGAGGUGGAUUAAUGUCAGUGGGAAAAGCUUCCGUUAUGAAUGCGUUUACAUGGGUUUACUGGAUUUGUGGGGAGA